rnacentral:rRNA from 1 species
GUGGAUUAGAUACCCGGGUAGUCCACGCCCUAAACGAUGCUCACUAGGUGUUGGGGAAGCGAUUCCUUGGUACCGUAGCUAACGCGUGAAGUGAGCCGCCUGGGGAGUACGGCCGCAAGGUUAAAACUCAAAGGAAUUGACGGGGACCCGCACAAGCGGUGGAUGAUGUGGAUUAAUUCGAUGCAACGCGAACAACCUUACCUACCCUUGACAUGUCUGGAAGGCUGCUGAAAGGUGGCUGUGCCCGAAAGGGAACCGGAACACAGGUGCUGCACGGUCGUCGACAACU